CAGAAAAUAGUUUAUUUAAAAAUAUUAAUUUUGGAGAUUAAUGAUAGGGUGUUUUCUUUUUUCUGA
rnacentral:tRNA from 1 species